rnacentral:rRNA from 1 species
GACGAACGCUGGCGGCGUGCUUAAUACAUGCAAGUCGAACGGAAAGGCCCUGAUUUUGUGGGGUGCUCGAGUGGCGAACGGGUGAGUAUCACGUGAGUAACAUGCCCUUGACUUUGGGAUAACUUCAGGAAACUGGGGAUAUUACCGGAUAGGAUCUUCUGCUGCAUGGUGGGGGAUGGAAAGUUUCGGCGGUUGGGGAUGGACUCGAGGCUUAUCAGCUUGUUGGUGGGGUAGUGGCAUACCAAGGCUUCGACGGGUAGCCGGCCUGAGAGGGUGAACGGCGACAUUGGGACUGAGGGACGGCCCAGACGCCAACGGGAGGCAGCAGUGGGGAAUAUUGCACAAUGGGCGGAAGCCAGAUGUAGCAACGCCGCGUGCGGGAUGACGGGCUUCGGGUUGUAAACCUCUUUCGCCUGUGAUGAAGCGUGAGUGACGGUAAUGAGUAAAGAAGCAACGGCUAACUACGUG